rnacentral:rRNA from 1 species
GACGAACGCUGGCGGCGUGCCUAAUACAUGCAAGUAGAACGCUGAAGGAGGAGCUUGCUUCUCUGGAUGAGUUGCGAACGGGUGAGUAACGCGUAGGUAACCUGCCUGGUAGCGGGGGAUAACUAUUGGAAACGAUAGCUAAUACCGCAUAAGAGUAGAUGUUGCAUGACAUUUGCUUAAAAGGUGCAAUUGCAUCACUACCAGAUGGACCUGCGUUGUAUUAGCUAGUUGGUGGGGUAACGGCUCACCAAGGCGACGAUACAUAGCCGACCUGAGAGGGUGAUCGGCCACACUGGGACUGAGACACGGCCCAGACUCCUACGGGAGGCAGCAGUAGGGAAUCUUCGGCAAUGGACGGAAGUCUGACCGAGCAACGCCGCGUGAGUGAAGAAGGUUUUCGGGUCGUAAAGCUCUGUUAUAAGAGAAGAACGAGUAUGAGAGUGGAAAGUUCACACUGUGACGGUAUCUUACCAGAAAGGGACGGCUAACUACGUG